rnacentral:SRP_RNA from 1 species
UGGCGGGUCCUGUGCGAGUGACUGUCGCGAAUCAUGUCAGGCGGGGAACCGAGCAGCAUUAAACGAUUGGCCGCUGAGCUGCAGUAAAUCGGUCGGUC